rnacentral:misc_RNA from 1 species
AAUUUGGCCGUGAAGAUAGAAUCCCUUAUAGAAGGUUGUAGUGAUGUGUCCUUGAGAAGUCUUAGCCAAGAUACAACUUAUCAACAUGCCAAGGACCAAUCCUUACCUCAAUUUAUCAAAAGUAUACCCAGUACGCAAAAUCCUUGUCAGGAAUUGGAUGAUUUAUGUUAUCAAAACAAUUGGAUAUUACCGACUUACAGUGUGACUGCAAUAGAUGGUGGAUUCCAAGCCAAAGUAAUUGUGAAAGGGAUAGACUUCGAGUAUUCAAGUGAUGGCGAUUUGCAUCUCCAUCCACGUGAAGCAAGAGAU